CCUUGGAUCUAGGACAACUCGCCCCCACUAUCUCGUUCCCGGUCCAAUUCGUCCCAUGCCCUUUACGGUCCCGCCCCUUUUGCCCCAGGGUUAACUCGUCCCCAGUUAUAUAGGAAAAUAAAAUUAAAGUUUUCACAAGAAAUGGUUCUUUAUUUCCUACGAUUAGUGGAAACGUCCUCCCAGGUUGUGCCAAAUGGCCGGACGUAUGUCAGCACAUCAUCGGCGUCCUUGUACUCGUCGUAGCAGUCGACGAUGCGGUUGAUGCGGGCCUCUGCUGCCUCGAGCGCUGAGCGACGCUUUGUAGGGGAGAAGCCGCCCACCGCCCGGGUGAUCUGCACGUCGACCUCGCCGAUCUCUUCUUGCAGCUGGUCGAGAAAUACGUAGAGGGGGGGGGGGUGAUGUUUACCGACCAGGGUACCGAGGCGGCGGUGCCAGGCUUCACACGUGUUAGUCGUCCUCGGCAGCCCCUGGACAGUCCUCUCGUAGCAGUUCCAGAGCUCUGGCGGGAACAUGGGCGCGCCCCGGGCCUGGACACGACCGCCACGCCGGCGAGCCCGCAGCCGGCCGCGAAGGUAGUUGUCUUCGACGUGCUUGAAGACAGCGUUGAGGGCUGCAUCCGCCACAGCUGCAAGCCCGUCGAAGGCUGCCUCCACGUCGUCCUCGGGCACGAAGGCGACGGCGAUCAGGCUGUGAGUGGAAGUCUGUCCGCAUCUUCUCCUCCGCGCGGUACGCCACGGCGAGGCCCUCCUCCUGCAGAGCACCUGCCCGAAGUGGAACAGGCACCACAGCAGCCGGCAGUCUGUGACACGCAAGCGUCACGUGCGUAAGACACUUUUCUGGAUCACUGAUGCUGUCGAAGCGCGCCAUGUGCCCGCCGACUUCUUAAUGGUCUGCACGGUCCCCUCCGCCUUGCCCCGGCCCCAGUCCGGAGCGUGCGAGUGGGCUGUCUCCGUGUCGGCCACCACGCGGUCCCGCCCGUCGACCACUAUGCGCCCGGUGCAUUUUCCCGGCUGUUCACACCGACAGGACGCCUCGAGCUUGACGUCGCGAUGGAAGGUGAACAUGAAGCCACCAUAAAUAGCCUUUCGUGCCCCUCUUUGGGUAGUCGUGUACCUGACCUUCUCCCCCGUUGGACUGACUGCCCUGCUCUGACUGCUAGCUAGGCGAAUCACAACAAUACCACAUCUUGACAAUGCAGAGCAGAGUGUUCCGGAAAGCGCUGCAAAUUUGAAUUUGAAAAAAAAAAACUUUGGGGGCGAGUUUGUUGUAGGACCUGGGUCGAGUUGGGUUUAGGACGAAUUUAUACCGGGGCGAGUUAACCGGGGCGAGUUGUCCGUCACCCAAUUCCCUUCCAGUAUGACUCCCAGAUGCGUAGGUGAUACAUUUUUUAGGCAUUUUGUCGAAAUAUGAGAAAUUCUUACCUUUUCGAGGCCCAGGUUGACCGGGAGCGGCGGGGUUGCAACCCGGCAUGCAUUCCACAUGACUCGCCGAGGUGACCAACAUUUUGUACCAAUGUAAAAACCUUCCAAACGGCGAUUUUAAUCGUGGAAACUGUAUUGCGGGCUGCCUAAGCUGAUUCUAAACGGCCCUGUCGGGACCCUUUAAGUCUAUCCGAGAAUUUUCUCACAAUUUUUGCAUUUUUUUUGGUAGAACGGGCAUCAUUUUCCCGUAUGUCGAACUUAAGAAAGAGAUCACGACCCCUCGAUGACCGGGCCUAUCUCGGCCCUAGUGCCCUGGAGGCUGUGGGGAUCAGUAGUGUGUUAUCAGUCAACGUGGAUGGACAUCGUUAGCGAGUUUGAGUCAAGAUUAAGUACGUUUUUGGAGGAGGUAAAGGAGUGUAAGAAGAGAGGCAAGAAACGAAGACGAAGGGUGCCAAGGUGGGAGAAGUGUGCAAAGGUGGAAGAGCUGAACUUGUGAACGCCUCCGCCCCCGCUCCUUUCUCCUUUGCCGGCAAGCCCGGAAACCGGUGAGUGAUUAGAAAGGAGGGUGUCAAAGAGUAAAGUGAUCGGGUAAACAGUGUAUAGAAGUGAACCCUAUCUGUCACCAGUGCCGUACCGACUCAUCGCCCUCAAGCGACAAUUCAUUGCGCGGGGGCGGGGGCUCAAACGCUCCAACGAGGAGGAUCCACGCGGGUGGCUGCCCGCCGUGCCUCUCUCGCCUCCCCCCUUCCCCUCGAAGUGAACCAGAGGAUCAAUUUAUCAGGAAUAAAGGAAGAACAAAGAAGUAGCAUUUGUAGAUUUAUAAAGAAUAAAAAAGGCUUAUAAAAUAAAAAUCCUACAAAAACA